GAGUUACUAGCUCAAUGGAAGAGUUCUCGGCUUUUAACCGAUAGGUUCUGGGUUCAAUUCUCAGGUAACUCA